UACGUAGGGCGCAAGCGUUGUCCGGAAUUAUUGGGCGUAAAGAGCUCGUAGGCGGUUUGUUGCGUCGGCCGUGAAAACCUGCAGCUUAACUGUGGGCCUGCGGCCGAUACGGGCAGACUUGAGUUCGGUAGGGGAGACUGGAAUUCCUGGUGUAGCGGUGAAAUGCGCAGAUAUCAGGAGGAACACCGGUGGCGAAGGCGGGUCUCUGGGCCGAUACUGACGCUGAGGAGCGAAAGCGUGGGGAGCGAACAGG
rnacentral:rRNA from 1 species